UACGUAGGGGGCGAGCGUUGUCCGGAAUCAUUGGGCGUAAAGAGCGUGUAGGCGGCUCGGUAAGUCCGCCGUGAAAACCUGAGGCUCAACCUCAGGCUUGCGGUGGAUACUGUCGUGCUAGAGGAUGGUAGAGGCGAGUGGAAUUCCCGGUGUAGCGGUGAAAUGCGCAGAUAUCAGGAGGAACACCAAUGGCGAAGGCAGCUCGCUGGGACGGUACUGACGCUGAGACGCGAAAGCGUGGGGAGCAAACAGGAUUAGAAACCCGAGUAGU
rnacentral:rRNA from 1 species